rnacentral:piRNA from 5 species
UCUGAAUGUCAAAGUGAAGAAAUU